GCAUCACAAGGGGCCCGGCAGUAGGAUUGGUAUAAAAUGGCCGCCACUGCCGCCGCUACAUUUCCUAGAAGGCGUCAAGCUGUAGGUGUUUGUGUCACCUAAUUGAGUCAGGGCUGGGGAGUAUAAAUAAUGACACCUGGCUGGAAGAGGGGAGAGAGAGCAGACUUGGAACAGGCCCUACACAGAGGAUCAAGGAAUGAGGAAAAGCCUGGGAAAGAGCUGGUAACGUGGACCCACUGGAUUGAGUUGACUAGAGAAACCUGCUUUUUGUUUAAGGAACCGUUUUUUUUCGCGGACACUUUUCAUUGUUCAACUUCAAAACGUGCCUUCAUAUAUGCAUGUGACCAGCGGACAGAGAGCACCAAGCGGACAAACAACCAAGAUCUUCCUCCCCCGUCAGCCAAUCCGUUCACCCGACUAUUGUGUCCAAUGAUGCUGCCGCUGUUUGCUGUGGUUAACGGUUACUCGGCCUGCUAACCUUUGGACCUCUUUUCAAGCCAAAAGGAUAAUUUGGAAAACCUUUCCUCCACAAACGCAAGUCUGCAAAGAUGAAAAGUCUGUCACGAGAUAUGCUUUGGGUGAAAUGCUGUAGUGACCUGGAAGGCUCUCCAUUUAAAUGUUAAAAUGUAACUUUUCCUAACCUACUCAAGUAGGUUGACAUUUGACUUAUCUGGCAGGUUUCAGACUUGGGAAUUUGCUGCAAACUGCCUGGGAAACUUUUAGGGAUGAAAGUCAAUAUUAUUAACGAGGCUAUGCCACAAGUAAAAAUUACAAUAUUAAUUUUAAUUAAAUGUUGGAAGGACAAUGGAACCACCUGCAUUUGGAUUGGUUCCCUAUACGCCUCAAUAAUGGCAAUACGCCACAAUACUUUUUUUUUUUUACUUGUUUGCUCUGCCUUUAUUAAUACACUAGAAUUAGGGUUUCCUUUCAAAUUAUUUACAAAUAAAUAUUGUAAAAGUGUUACGUCCAUAUCUAUUCACCAUCUUUACUGUAAAAUCCCUAACAAAGAUCUGGUGUGACCAAUUGCCUUGUCAAAGUGUAACAUAAUUGGUAAAUAGGGUCCACCUGUAUGCAAUUUAAUUUUAAAAUACACCUGUUCUGUUAACGCCUCAGUUUGUUAAAGAGCAUUACUAAACAAAGAGCAUCAUGAAGACCACAGAGCUCACCAAACAGCUCAGAGAUAAUGAUGUAGCUAACUAUGAGGUUAGGUUAGGUUAUAAAAAAACUUCAGGUCUCGUUAUUCAGAUUUCUGUUUAUUUCUGCGUUUAUUAUCUAGAUCAUUUUUUGUUCUUAGAUUUAGUGCAGGGAUUUAAUCUUUCAGGAGAUUUAGUUUUUUUUAUUUUAAUAAACUUUGAUAUAGAACUUUGCUUCUUGA